CCGGCGCACGGGUGAGUAACACGUAUCCAACCUGCCGUCUACUCUUGGACAGCCUUCUGAAAGGAAGAUUAAUACAAGAUGGCAUCAUGAGUCCGCAUGUUCGCAUGAUUAAAGGUAUUCCGGUAGACGAUGGGGAUGCGUUCCAUUAGAUAGUAGGCGGGGUAACGGCCCACCUAGUCUUCGAUGGAUAGGGGUUCUGAGAGGAAGGUCCCCCACAUUGGAACUGAGACACGGUCCAAACUCCUACGGGAGGCAGCAUG
rnacentral:rRNA from 1 species